UUAAGCGACUAAGCGUACACGGUGGAUGCCCUGGCAGUCAGAGGCGAUGAAGGACGUGCUAAUCUGCGAUAAGCGUCGGUAAGGUGAUAUGAACCGUUAUAACCGGCGAUUUCCGAAUGGGGAAACCCAGUGUGAUUCGUCACACUAUCAUUAACUGAAUCCAUAGGUUAAUGAGGCGAACCGGGGGAACUGAAACAUCUAAGUACCCCGAGGAAAAGAAAUCAACCGAGAUUCCCCCAGUAGCGGCGAGCGAACGGGGAGCAGCCCAGAGCCUGAAUCAGUGUGUGUGUUAGUGGAAGCGUCUGGAAAGGCGUGCGAUACAGGGUGACAGCCCCGUACACAAAAAUGCACAUACUGUGAGCUCGAUGAGUAGGGCGGGACACGUGGUAUCCUGUCUGAAUAUGGGGGGACCAUCCUCCAAGGCUAAAUACUCCUGACUGACCGAUAGUGAACCAGUACCGUGAGGGAAAGGCGAAAAGAACCCCGGACGAGGGGAGUGAAAAAGAACCUGAAACCGUGUACGUACAAGCAGUGGGAGCACGCUUAGGCGUGUGACUGCGUACCUUUUGUAUAAUGGGUCAGCGACUUAUAUUCUGUAGCAAGGUUAACCGAAUAGGGGAGCCGAAGGGAAACCGAGUCUUAACUGGGCGUUAAGUUGCAGGGUAUAGACCCGAAACCCGGUGAUCUAGCCAUGGGCAGGUUGAAGGUUGGGUAACACUAACUGGAGGACCGAACCGACUAAUGUUGAAAAAUUAGCGGAUGACUUGUGGCUGGGGGUGAAAGGCCAAUCAAACCGGGAGAUAGCUGGUUCUCCCCGAAAGCUAUUUAGGUAGCGCCUCGUGAAUUCAUCUCCGGGGGUAGAGCACUGUUUCGGCAAGGGGGUCAUCCCGACUUACCAACCCGAUGCAAACUGCGAAUACCGGAGAAUGUUAUUACGGGAGACACACGGCGGGUGCUAACGUCCGUCGUGAAGAGGGAAACAACCCAGACCGCCAGCUAAGGUCCCAAAGUCAUGGUUAAGUGGGAAACGAUGUGGGAAGGCCCAGACAGCCAGGAUGUUGGCUUAGAAGCAGCCAUCAUUUAAAGAAAGCGUAAUAGCUCACUGGUCGAGUCGGCCUGCGCGGAAGAUGUAACGGGGCUAAACCAUGCACCGAAGCUGCGGCAGCGACGCUUAUGCGUUGUUGGGUAGGGGAGCGUUCUGUAAGCCUGUGAAGGUGUGCUGUGAGGUAUGCUGGAGGUAUCAGAAGUGCGAAUGCUGACAUAAGUAACGAUAAAGCGGGUGAAAAGCCCGCUCGCCGGAAGACCAAGGGUUCCUGUCCAACGUUAAUCGGGGCAGGGUGAGUCGACCCCUAAGGCGAGGCCGAAAGGCGUAGUCGAUGGGAAACAGGUUAAUAUUCCUGUACUUGGUGUUACUGCGAAGGGGGGACGGAGAAGGCUAUGUUGGCCGGGCGACGGUUGUCCCGGUUUAAGCGUGUAGGCUGGUUUUCCAGGCAAAUCCGGAAAAUCAAGGCCGAGGCGUGAUGACGAGGCACUACGGUGCUGAAGCAACAAAUGCCCUGCUUCCAGGAAAAGCCUCUAAGCAUCAGGUAACAUCAAAUCGUACCCCAAACCGACACAGGUGGUCAGGUAGAGAAUACCAAGGCGCUUGAGAGAACUCGGGUGAAGGAACUAGGCAAAAUGGUGCCGUAACUUCGGGAGAAGGCACGCUGAUACGUAGGUGAAGCGACUUGCUCGUGGAGCUGAAAUCAGUCGAAGAUACCAGCUGGCUGCAACUGUUUAUUAAAAACACAGCACUGUGCAAACACGAAAGUGGACGUAUACGGUGUGACGCCUGCCCGGUGCCGGAAGGUUAAUUGAUGGGGUUAGCGCAAGCGAAGCUCUUGAUCGAAGCCCCGGUAAACGGCGGCCGUAACUAUAACGGUCCUAAGGUAGCGAAAUUCCUUGUCGGGUAAGUUCCGACCUGCACGAAUGGCGUAAUGAUGGCCAGGCUGUCUCCACCCGAGACUCAGUGAAAUUGAACUCGCUGUGAAGAUGCAGUGUACCCGCGGCAAGACGGAAAGACCCCGUGAACCUUUACUAUAGCUUGACACUGAACAUUGAGCCUUGAUGUGUAGGAUAGGUGGGAGGCUUUGAAGUGUGGACGCCAGUCUGCAUGGAGCCGACCUUGAAAUACCACCCUUUAAUGUUUGAUGUUCUAACGUGGACCCGUGAUCCGGGUUGCGGACAGUGUCUGGUGGGUAGUUUGACUGGGGCGGUCUCCUCCUAAAGAGUAACGGAGGAGCACGAAGGUUGGCUAAUCCUGGUCGGACAUCAGGAGGUUAGUGCAAUGGCAUAAGCCAGCUUGACUGCGAGCGUGACGGCGCGAGCAGGUGCGAAAGCAGGUCAUAGUGAUCCGGUGGUUCUGAAUGGAAGGGCCAUCGCUCAACGGAUAAAAGGUACUCCGGGGAUAACAGGCUGAUACCGCCCAAGAGUUCAUAUCGACGGCGGUGUUUGGCACCUCGAUGUCGGCUCAUCACAUCCUGGGGCUGAAGUAGGUCCCAAGGGUAUGGCUGUUCGCCAUUUAAAGUGGUACGCGAGCUGGGUUUAGAACGUCGUGAGACAGUUCGGUCCCUAUCUGCCGUGGGCGCUGGAGAACUGAGGGGGGCUGCUCCUAGUACGAGAGGACCGGAGUGGACGCAUCACUGGUGUUCGGGUUGUCAUGCCAAUGGCACUGCCCGGUAGCUAAAUGCGGAAGAGAUAAGUGCUGAAAGCAUCUAAGCACGAAACUUGCCCCGAGAUGAGUUCUCCCUGACCCUUUAAGGGUCCUGAAGGAACGUUGAAGACGACGACGUUGAUAGGCCGGGUGUGUAAGCGCAGCGAUGCGUUGAGCUAACCGGUACUAAUGAACCGUGAGGCUUAACCUU
rnacentral:rRNA from 1 species